GUGCUUACCUGGCUGGGGACAUUCUGUGAUCAUAAAGAUGUUAUUUCCAGGGUACCAUGUACUACUUCACAUAUGCUGACCCCUGUGGCUUUGCCAAAUACAAAAAUUUGAUACAUAAUUUAUAAUAGUUGGGAAUUUUUAAAAAACAAAACAAAACAAAAAUCCAUU